GGACUACUGGGGUUUCUAAUCCCGUUUGCUCCCCUGGCUUUCGCGCCCUCAGCGUCAAUGCCGGUCCAGGAUGCCGCCUUCGCCACCGGUGUUCCUCCAGAUAUCUACGCAUUUCACCGCUACACCUGGAAUUCCGCAUCCCUCUCCCGGAUUCAAGCUCGCCAGUAUCAGACGCAGUUCCAUGGUUGAGCCAUGGGAUUUCACGUCUGACUUAGCAAGCCGCCUACGCGCCCUUUACGCCCAGUAAUUCCGAACAACGCUCGCCCCCUCUGUAUUACCGCGGCUGCUGGCAC
rnacentral:rRNA from 1 species